CCCUUAUCACAAUUGGGUUGAUCUCCCUAUAUAAACAUACACGAGUCACCAGUGGAGACAUGAACAAGCAGAGAUAAAUCGAGCAAAGAUCAACCCACCGAUCGGUAAAUUCCCAGCAAACUCCAGCAAAUCCUUUGUACCAAGUCUUCAUAUUCGUUCCCUACUGUCACAAUUCCCAUAAGCCAACAGCCUACCACAGCAUUACCAAACAGUCCACCCUUUAAGCCUCUCUGCUGCCACCUAUCACCAAUUUAGCUGCCAGAACAAGCAUACCAUUUUCUAAUGUUCGGCGCCGGAACCGCCAUACACCAAACGCAUUAUCACAAUCACCUAUCGCAACUCAAAAACUGCCAUCAUUCAUAAAAAAUUGAGCUGCGGCAGCCACACAUAACUUGAAACUACAAACCUACCAUCGUCGAGUCCUAGACUAAACCUAAGUAGCCAAUUGUUAACAUUUAUCACCACAAACCCAGAAACACCACCCACACACAGAGCAAGAAAUAGAAUAAUAACACAGAUAAAGAAAUAAAGACAUAAGUAAGGAAAAAAAGGGUUUUUAGCAACGAUCAUUUGGAGCUCGAUACUAUGAAUUUGUGGGGUUAUUUUUUGGGGAUCCUAAAUUGGUGUAAGAGAAGAAAGUGGUGAAAAGCCACAAUGUUUGUGGCAAGUGCAAUGGUAACGAUGGUGGCCAACGGCAACAGGUGAGCUUUCACAGAUCGGGAUCCAGGAACAAAAAAAACACAAAGAAGCUGAAACGGGGGUGCAAAGGCUGCGACUUCAGCUCCAGAUCUAGGCCAUUGGAGAACAAUUUGUGAAAAACCAAACUCAGAUAUGAGACAAGGGACAAGGAGCCUGAAAGGAGGUUUGCUGUGAAAUGUCGGUGUCAAUGGAGGUGGGUCGACAAAAACGGCGGAGCCUUGUCGGUUUCUGGGCUGUUUGAAGGACGGUGGUGGUCGAAAAAUCUUUUCUAGAGAGAGUAGAGAACUUGUAGCAAGAGAAAGAAGCAGGAUAUGAAAAAAUGAAAAGAGAGAGUUGAUGUUGGGUUACAUACGGUGGUUUAAAGUGGCGUUGUUUUGGGCACUAAGGAAUCGGGUUCAUCCGACUCAUUUUGAGACCCGUGUCUGUGACCAGGUUUGGGUCUGGCCCAACAGAAAUAAUUUGUCCCAGCCCGCAUGCCAUAUCGGAAAAAAUUCAAGCCCAAUCUUUAGCCCAAUUCAUCCACAUUUUUUCAAGUUUGGAUCGAGAUUCAGUUUGGCCUAUUCAAAGAUCAAUUUCCUUGAACUUCAAUUUGGAGUUUAACCCAAUUAUUGGUACAUUUUUAUUUUAUUGUUAAUUGCUUUAGUUACUUUAAUUAAUUUUUUAAAUAAUAAAAUUUUAAAAUUACUUCAAUCUAUUGAAUUAUUAGAGAAUUUAAAUAUUUGAAUUAAGUCUUACCAAAUUAUUGAAAGACUUAAUGAAAAUUUUUGAAAAUAAAAGUUUUAAUUAUACCAAACUAAAAUAAAAAUUGUAAUUACACUAAAUUAUUAGAAGAUUUAAAUUUUCAAUUAAAUUUUAUCAAACUAUUGAAAGAUUUAAUGGUACUAAAAGUUAGUAUCCAAAAUUCAUGUCCCUUUUGUGCAUUUCGCUUCAAAACCUUUAAAUCUAUCUACCCAUGUUCUUUUUCUAUCUUUUUGAAUUACUUUAAUUGAAAAAUCAUCAAUGUUAGAUUUUAACAAUUCAAUGUUUUUCUCAUGGUUUGUCUAUGAUUUCUAUACUUAAAAUUGUACUUCUUGUUUUUAUGUAACAAAAGAUUAACAAGGUAGUGUAGAUCUACAGGGGUUUAAAGUCAUAAAUCAUAUUCAAAAUUUUUAAUUGUGUUACAUCCAAGUCAAUUGGUUAAUGGUCAACACAAUUAGGUCAUUGGGCCAUCCAUGUGAGCCAUGCCUAAACAAUCAUGUCACUUGCUGAGGAAAUGACUCGCCCUUCACCAAAAAAAUGACUCGCCCAAGGUUCCACCAACAAUUUGUCAAUGUAGUCAAUUCAGAAUUGACCAACUAGCAUCCAAUUUGGUUGGGAUCACUAAAUGCAACUCAUGUCUACCUAAUCUCAACAUAUCUUACGCGGGCCCACAUCCUUGAAAUUUACAUUACACCUCAAAGAAUUAAUUGAUUUCUUUUUCUCUAUUCAUUACUUGUUAAUCACUCUGAACGAUAAUAAAUGAAUAAACAAAUAAAUAAAUAGUAAUAACAACAAUUAUACCAAUAAAUGAAAAGUAAAAAAUAAAAAAGUGAGGUGUAACACAAAGGCUUCUUAAGAGGUCACCUAUUCAAGUAGCACGCUUAACUAAGGAGCUUUGUUGUGAUAUGAUAUUUUAGUGCUAGUAUGAUCACACCCAUCACUUGAAGAGCAAAUAAAAUAUAUAACCCUUCAUUCUUUGCAAAUUGCUUAACACAUCCCAUGUGAGCCCAUAUUCUAAGAAUUUGUGUUACAUGUUAAAAAAUUAAGUGAUUUCUCAAGUCAUUACUAAUUAAUCACUCCGAACGAUAAUCAAAUAAUAAACAAAUAAAUAAAUAGUAAUAACAACAACUUUGUCGACAAAUGAAAAGUGAAUAAUAAAAAUGUAAGGUGUAACACAAGGACCUCAUAGGAAGCCGCCCAUCAUCAUAUUGUUCUCACCCCAAGUAUGUUUAAUUGCAGAGUUUUGAUGGGAUCUCAUGUUUUAGUGCUGUUAUGAUCGCACCAGUAACUUAAUGCACAAACAAUAUAUAUAUAUAUAUAAUGCUUUUUUCUCUGCACAUUGCUCAACAUAUCUCAUACAGGGCCCCAUUUUCAAAAUUUGCAUUACGCCUUAAAAAGUUAAUUGAUUUCUUGAAUAAUUACCAAUUAGUCACUUCAAACCACAAUCAAUGAAUAAACAAAUAAAUAAAUAGUACUAACAACAAUUAUACUAACAAAUGAAAAGUAAAAAAUAAAAAUAUGAGGUACAACACGAGGACUUCCUAAUAGGUUAUUUAUCCUAGUAUUACUUUCGCCCAUGUAUGUUUAACUAUGAAAUUCUAAUGGGACCCAGUGGUUUAAUGCUGAUACAAUCGCACUUGCCACUUGAUACACAAAUAAUUUAUAUAACCCUUCCUUCUCCGCACGUUGCUUAACAUGUCACAUGCAGGCCCCUAUCCUUGAAAUUUGCAUUACGCCUCAAAGAGUUAAUCGAUUUUUCGAGUGAUUACCAAUUAAUUACUUUGAACAAUAAUUAACAAAUAAACAAAUAAAUAAAGAGUGAUAACAACUUUAUUGACAAAUGAAAAGUAAAAAAUAAAAAUAUGGGUUGUAACAUAAGAAAUUCCUAAAAGGUCACCCAUUCUAGUAUUACACUCGCCAAGCAUUCUUAGCUGUGAAGUUUUAUGUGAUUGAUACUUUAGUGCUGGUAUAAUUGUACCUACCAUUGAUACGGGCCCCCAUACUUGAAAUUUGCAUUAAUUGUAAAAAAGAUGAUCGAUUUCUUGAGUCAUUGCCAAUUAUUUACUCCAAACAAUAAUUAAUGAAAAAAUAAAUUAAUUAAUAGUAAUAACACCAACUAUACCGAUAAAUGGAAAGUAAAAAUAAAUAUGUAAGGUGCAACAUAAGGACUUUCUAAAAGGUCACCCAUCCUAGUGCAACUAUUGUCCAAGCAUGCUUAACUGUAGAGUUUUGAUAGGAUUUGGUACUUUAGUGAUGCUAUGAUCACAAACAUCACCUGACAUGUAAAUAAUAUAUAAAACCCUUCUUUCUCCGCAUGUUGCUCAAAAUAUACCCAUUGGGCUCCCAUAUUCGUAAUUUGCAUUACACAUUAAAGAGUUAAUCAAUUUCUCAAAUCAUUAGCAAUUAAUCACUCUAAACGAUAAUCAACAAAUAAACAAAUAAAUAAAUAGUAAUAACAACAACUAUACCAACAAAUGAAAAUAAAAAAAUAAAAAAAUGGGUUGAAACAUGAGAAUUUCUCAGAAGGUCACCCAUUCUAGUACUAAUGUCACCCAAUAAUGCUUAAUUGUGGAGUUUUGAUGAGAUUUUGUGCUUUAGUGCUAGUAUAAUCGCACCUAUUACUUAACGCGCAAAUAAUAUAUAUAACCCUUCUUUCUCUGCAUGUUGCUCAACAUAUUCCACAUGGACUUCCUUCCCCAGAAUUUGUGUUAUGCUUCAAGCGUUAAUUGAUUUCUAGAUUCAUUACUAAUUAAUCAUUCCUAAUGAUAAUUAACGAAUAAACAAAUAAAUAAAUAAUAAUAAUGACAAAUGAAAAGCAAAAAAUAAAAAGGUUUUAACCCUCAUAUGAAAAAUAAUUGUAUAAACAACUAUAUCGACAAAUUGAAAUAAUGCUUAAUUGUAUUAACAAUUAUACCGACAAAUAAAAAGUAAAAAAUAAAAAUGCAAGGUGUAACACGAAGACUUUCCAGGAAGUCACUCAUCUUAGUACUACUAUUGCCUAAGAGUUUUGAUGGGAUUUAGUGCUUUAUUGUUGGUAUGAUUGCACCCAUUAAUCGACUCCAAAUAAUAUUCAUAACCUAUAUUUCUUCACACGUUGCUUUAUAUAUCCUGUAUAGGCCUCUAUCCUCAAAAAUUGCAUUACACCUUAAAUAAUUUAUUGAUUUCUUGAGUUAUUACCAAUUAAUCACUCCGAAUGAUAAUAAAUGAAUAAACAAAUAAAUAAAUAGUAAUAAUGGCAAAUGAAAAUAAAAAAAUAAAAAUGUUUCAACGGAUGGAAAAAUAAUUGCAUAAACAACUAUGCCAACAAAUGAAAAGCAAAAAAUAAAAAUGUGGGUUGUAACACGAAGACAUCUUAAGAGGUCACCUAUCUUAGUAUGUUUGAGUAUGGAGUUCUAAUUGAAUCCAAUGGUUUAGUGCUGGUAUAAUCACUUCUAUCACUUGACGUGCAAAUAAUAUACAUAGCUAUUUUUUCUCUACAUGUUGCUUUAUAUGUCCCAUAUGAGCCUUUCCUCCGAAAUUUGCAUUAUGAUUCAAAUAGUUGAUUGAUUUCUUAGGUUAUUACCAAUUAAUCACUUCAAAUGAUAAUUAACGAGUAAACAAUUAAAUAAAUAGUAAUAAUGACAAAUGAAAAACAAAAAAUAAAAAUGUUUUGACCCUUAGAUGAAAAAAUAAUUGCAUAACAACAAUACCAACAAAUGAAAAAAGAAUAAAAAUAUAGGAUGCAACACUAGGACUUCCUAAUAGGUCACCCAUCAUAGUACUAGUCUCUUCCAAGCACGUAUAACUACGGAGUUCUUGUGAGAUUUGGUGCUUUGGUGCUAGUAUGAUUGCACUAGCAAUUUCACGCAUAAAUAAUAUACAUAACCCUUUUUUUUCACGCUUUGCUCCAUUUAUCUCACGUAGGCCCUCAUAUUUGGAAUUUGCAUUACACCUCAAAGAGUUAAUCAAUUUCUCGAGUCGUUACCAAUUAGUCACGUCGAAUGAAAAUCAAUGAAUAAACAAAUAAAUAAAUAGUAAUAAUGACAAAUGAAAAGUGAAAAAUAAAAAUGUUUUGACUCUUGGAUGAAAAAAUAAUUAUAUAGACAAUUAUACCAAUAAAUGAAAAGAAAAAAAAUAAAAAUGUGGGGUGCAAUAAGAGGACUUUCCAGUAUGUCACCCAUCCUAGUACUAUUCUUGCCCAAGCAUGCUUGACUAUGAAGUUCUAAUGGGAUUUGGUGCUUUAAAGUUGGUAUGAUUGCACCUAUAACUUGAUGGUCAAAUAAUAUACCUAACACAUCCUUCUCCGUGCGUUGCUCUAUAUAUCCCACACGGGCUCCUAUCCUCAGUAUUUGCAUUACACUUCAAACAAUUAAUUGAUUUUUCGAGUCAUUACCAAUUAAUCAUUUCGAAUGAUAAUAAAUAAAUAAAUAAAUAGUAAUAAUGAUAAAUGAAAAGCAAAAAAUAAAAUUAUUUUGACUUUUGGACUGAAAAAUAAUUGUAUAAACAACUAUACCAACAAAUGAAAAGUAAAAAAUAAAAAUGUAGGGUGUAACAUGAGGACUUCUUAAGAGGUCAUCCAUUCUAGUACUACUCUUACUCAAGCAGGCUUAAUUGUAGAGUUCUGAUAGAAUCUAAAGCUUUAAUGCUGGUAUGAUUGCACUUGUUAGUUGAUGUGUAAAUAAUAUACAUAACCCUUCAUUUUUCACACGUUGCUCUAUAUAUCUCAUGCGAGCCUUCAUCCCCGAAAUUUGCUUUAUGCCUCAAAAAGUUGAUUAAUUUUUCGAGUCAUUAGUACCUAAUCAUUCAGAAUGAUAAUUAACGAAUAAAUAAAUAAAUAAAUAAAUAGUAAUAACGACAAAUGAAAAGUGAAAAAUAAAAAUAUUUUGACCUUUGGAUGGAAAAAUAAUUGUAUAAACAACUACAUCAAAAAAUGAAAAGCAAAAGAAAAAAUGUGAGGUACAACAUGAGGACUUUCUAAAAGGACACCCAUCAUAGUACUAUUCUCGCCUAAACGCGCUUAAUUGCAAAGUUCUGAUAGGAUCUAGUUCUUUAGUGUUGGUAUGAUUGCACUCAUAAAAUUACAUGCAAAUAAUAUAUAUAUCCCAUGUUUCUUCACGUGUUGCUUUAUAUAUCCCACAAGGGCCCUUAUCUUGAAACUUGCGUUACGCCUCAAAGAGUUAAUUGAUUUCUUGAGUUAUUACCAAUUAAUUACUUCUAAUGGUUAUCUACAAAUAAACAAAUAAAUAAAUAGUAAUAACAACAAAUGAAAAGCGAAAAAUAAAAAUAUUUUGGCCCUUGGAUGGACAAAUAAUUGUAUAAACAAUUAUACUGACAAAUGAAAAGCAAAAAAUAAAAAUGUGGGGUGUAACACGAGGACUUCCUAAAAAAUCACCCAUCCUAGUACUAUUCUUACCUAGGCACAUAUAACUACAAAGUUCUGAUAGGAUUCAAAGUUUUAGUGUUGGUAUGAUCGUACCUAUUUCUUGCGCUCAAAUAAUAUACGUAACCUUUCAUUCUCCAUGCGUUGCUUGAUAUAUCCCACAUAGGCCCUCGUCCUCAAAAUUUACGUUACGCCUUAAAGAGUUUAUCAAUUUUUUUAGUCAUUACAAAUUAAUCACUCCGAAUAAUAAUGAAUGAAUAAACAAAUACAUAAAUGGUAAUAAUGACAAAUGAAAUGCGAAAAAUAAAAAUGUUUUGACCUUUAGAUGGAAAAAUUAUUGUAUAAACAAUUAUACUGACAAAUGAAAAGCAAAAAAUAAAAAUGUGACUUGGAACACGAGGAUUUCCCAAAAGGUCAUCGAUCAUAGUACUACUUAACCCAAUCAUGCUCAACUACAAAGUUUUGAUGGGAUCUAAUGCUUUACUGCUCAUAUUACUGCACGCAUUACUUAACGUACAAAUAAUGUACAUAAAACUUCUUUUUUCAUGUGUUACUCUAUAUAUAUCACACAGGCCUCUGUCUUCAAAAUUUGCAUUAUACAUUAAAGAGUUAAUCAAUUUCUUGAGUCAUUACCAAUUAAUUACUUUGAAUGAUAAUCAAUGAAUAAACAAAUAAAUAACUAGUAAUAAUGACAAAUGAAAAGUGAAAAAUAAAAAUGUUUUGACCCUUGGAUGGAAAAAUAAUUGUAUAAACAACUAUACCAACAAAUGAAAAGAAAAAAAUAAAAAUGUAGGGUGCAACACGAAAGCUUUCCAAGAAGUUAUCAAUCCUAGUAUUACUAUCGCCCAAGCACACUUCAGUACGGAGUUAAGAUGGCAUCUGAUGCUUUAGUGUUGGUAUGAUCUCACUUGUCACUUAAUGUGCAAAUAAUAUACAUAGCCCAUUCUAGUACUACUCUUACUCAAGCAUGUUUAACUAUGAAGUUCUGAUGGGAUUUGGUGCUUUAAUGUUGGUAUUAUUACACCCAUUACUUAACGCACAAAGAAUACAAUAACCUUUCAUUUUCUAUGCAUUAUUCUAUAUAUCUUAUGUAGUCUCCAUCUCUGAAAUUUGCAUUACCCCUCAACGAGUUGAUCGAUUUCUCAAACCAUUACAAUUUAAUCACUUCAAGUGAUAAUCAACAAAUAAACAAAUAAGUAAAUAGUAAUAAUGACAAAUGGUCAGUAAAUAGUAAUAAUAACAAAUGGUCAGCAAAAAAUAAAAAUGUUUUAACCCAUGGAUGAAAAAAUAAUUAUAUAAACAACUAUACUAAAAAAUGAAAAGCAAAAAAUAAAAAUGUAGGGUGCAACACAAGGACUUUUGGAGCGGUUACCCAUCCUAGUAGUAUUUUCGCCAAAGCAUAUUUAAUUGCAUAGCUCUGCUGAGAUUUGAUGCUUUAGUACUACUAUGAUCGCACCCAUCACUUGACUCAAAAAUAACAUACGUAACCCUUUUUUCUACAUGCGUUGCUCUAUAUAUCCCAUGCUUGCCCUAUCACUGGAAUUACAUUAUGCCUUAAAGAUUUCAUUGAUUUCUCGAGUCAUUGCUAACUAAUCAGUAUAAAUGACAAUCAAUGAAUAUACAAAGAAAUAAAUAGUAAUAACAACAAAUGAAAAGUGAAGAAUAAAAGUGUUUUGACUCUUGGAUGGAAAAAUAUUUGUAUAAAUAACUAUAUCGACAAAAAAUAAAAAUAUGGGUUACAGGAUGAUGACUUGCUAAGAGGUCAUCCAUCCUAGUACUACUCUUGCCCAAGCAUGUUUAACUGCAUUAUUCUUAUGGGAUCUUGUGGUUUAUUAUUGGUAUUAUCGCAACCAUCACUUGAUCGCCAAUAAUAUAAAUAAACAUUCUUUCUUUAUCCAUUGCUCUAUAUAUCCCACGUAGGCGCCCAUCUUCAAAAUUUAUGUUACGCCUUAAAGAAUUGAACAGUUUUUGAAGUCAUUGCCAAUUAAUCACUUUGAACAAUGAUCAACAAAUAAACAAAUAAAUAAAUGGUAAUAACAACAAAUGAAAAGUAAAAAAUAAAAAUGUUUUGACUCUUGGAUGGAAAAAUAAUUGUAUAAACAACUAUAUUGACAAAUGAAAAAAAAAUAAAAAUGAGCGAUGCGACAUGAGGACUUCCCAAGAGGUCACCCAUCCUAAUACUACUUUGACCUAAGUGUGCUUAACUGCAGAGUUCUAAUAGGAAUCGGUGUUUUAAUGCUGGUAUGGUUGAACCAGUCACCUGAUGCGCAAAUAACAUACAUAACCCUUCAUUCUCCAUGUGUUGCUAUAUAUAUAUAUAUUUAAUGGGGACCUCGUCCCCAAAAUUUGCAUUACUCUUCAAAGAGUUAAUCGAUUUUUUGAGUCAAUACCAAUUAAUCACUUCGAACGAUAAUCAACAAAUAAACAAAUAAAUAAAUAGUAAGAAUGACAAAUGAAAAGCGAAAAAUAAAACUGUUUUUACCCUUGGAUGGAUUAUAAACAACUAUAUCUACAAAUAAAAAGAAAAAAAAUAAAAAAAUGAGGUGCAACACAAAGACUUCCUAGAAUGUCACCCAUUUUAGUAUUACUCUUGCCCAAGCAUGUUUAAUUGCAGAGUUCUAAUGGGAUUCGGUGCUUAAGUUUUGGUAUGAUUGCACCCAUCACUUGAUGCACAAAUAAUAUACGUAACCCUUCCUUCUUUGAGUGUUGCUUUUUAUAUCCCAUGCAGGCCCCCAUCCCUAAAGUUUGCAUUACGCCUAAAAGAGUUGAUCAAUUUCUUGUGUCAUUACCAAUUGAUCACUCCGAACAAUAAUGAACGAAUAAAAAAAUAAAUAAAUAGUAAUAAUGAUAAAUGGUCAGUGAAAAAUAAAAAUGUUUGACCUUUAGAUGGAAAAAUAAUUGUAUAAACAACUAUAUUGGCAAAUGAAAACUUAAAAAAAAAAUGUGGGGUGCAACAUAAAAACUUCCUAGGAAUUCACCUAUCCAAGAACUAUUUUCACCCAAGCACAUUUAAUUACGGAGUUCUAAUGAGAUUUGGUGCUUUGGUUCUAGUAUGAUUGUACCUAUCACUUGAUGCGUAAAUAAUAUACAUAACCCUUCCUUGUCUGAGUGUUGCUCUGUAUAUGCCAGGUGGGCCCUCAUCUCCUGAAUUUGCAUUACGCAUCAAAAUGUUAAUCAAUUUCUCUAGUCAUUACUAGCUAAUCAUUUUAAAAAUAAUCAACGAAUAAACAAAUAAAUAAAUAUUAUUAAUGACAAAUAACAAGCAAAAAAUAAAAAUGUUUAUACAAAUAUACCGAUAAAUGAAAAGCAAAAUAUAAAAAUGUGGAGUGCAACAUGAAGACUUCCUAGGGAGGUUAACCAUGCCAGUACUACUCUCACUUAAGGAUGCUUAACUGUGAAAUUUUCAUAGGAUCUAGUGUUUUAGUGCUAGUAUGAUCUUUACCCAUCACAUGAUACACAAAUAAUAUACAUAACCCUUUCAUCUUCGUAUGUUGCUCAAUAUAUCCCAUUUGGGCCCUUGCCCCCGAAAAUUAUGUUGUGUCUCAAAGAAUAGAUUGAUUUCUCGAUUCGUUACCAAUUAAUUACUUCAAAUGAUAGUCAAAGAAUAAACAAACAAAUAAAUAGUACUAACAACAAUGAAAAAUGAAAACUAAGAAUGUUUUGACCCUUAGAUGGAAAAAUAAUAGUAUAAACAACUAUACCAACAAAUGAAAAGCAAAAAAUAAAAAUGUGGGGCGUAGCACAAGUACUUUCCAAAUGGUCACCCAUCCUAGUACUACUUUCACCCAAGUGCACUUAACUACAGAGUUCUGAUGGGAUCCAACACUUUAAUGUUAGUAUGAUCGCACACAACAUUUAACGCACAAAUAAUAUACAUAACCCUUCCUUCUUCGUGUAUUGCUCUACAUAUCCCAUGCGGGCCCUCGUCCCCGAAAUUUGCAUUACGCCUAAAAAAGUUGAUCGAUUUCAUGAGUCAUUACCAAUUAAUCACUUUGAACUAAAAUAAAUGAAUAAACAAACAAACAAAUAGUAAUAACGUCAAAUGAAAAGUGAAAAAAAAGAAUGCUUUGACCCUUGGAUGGAAAACUAAUUGUAUAAACAACUAUAUCGAAAAAUGAAAAGCAAAAAAAAAAAUGUAGGGUGCAACUUGAGAACUUCCAAAGAGGUCACCUAUCUUAGAACUACUUUCGCCUAAACAUAAUUAACUACAAAAUCCUGAUGGGAUUUGAUGCUUUAGUGCUAGUAUGAUUGCACUUUUCACUUAAUGUGCAAAUAAUAUUCUUGACCCUUUCUUCUUUGUGCAUUGCUCUAUAUAUCACAUAUGGCUCCUGUCUCCAAAAUUCGCGUUAUGCCUUAAAUAGUUGAUCGAUUUCUCGAGCUAUUACAAAUUAAUCACUCUGAACGAUAAUCAACAAAUAAAUAAACAAAUAAAUAGUAAUAUCGAUAAAUGAAAAAUGAAAAAGAAAAAUGUUUUGCGUUUUGGAUGGAAAAAUAAUUGUAUGAACAACUAUAUAGACAAAUGAAAAGCAAAAAAUAAAAAAUGUGAAGUGCAAUACGAGGGCUUCUCAGGAGGUCACCCAUGAAUGAUAAUGUCCAUAAAAAAUUCUUGUAUUCUUUUGAAAAGAAAUGUAGGAUGACAAGGGAAAAAAAUGAAAAAGAUAGAAGAAACCUAAGAAGAUGAUUUGAAAGGGGAAAUGGGGUGACCAAGUGAUUAAUAUGGUGAUGAAUUGGUUGACAUAAGCUAUGAGUUGUGAUCAAUUGAUGGAAAAUAAUGUAGAUCGGUUGAUGGAAUUGGUUUUGAAAUUAUUAGUGCUGAGUAGCUAAAAAGGAAAAUAUGAGAUAAUAGUCUUGAGAACCUUAUUACCACAAUUGAAAUUUUAUGACAUUGAUUUUAGUGACAUUUGCAUUGCAUGUAUUACGUUUUCAUUGUUGAGUAUCUAGAUUAUUGUUUUGAAUGUUGCACAUCGUUGUUUGAACCAAACAUCUGUAUUGUUUAGUGAAAGUUUGAAUUGUUGUAUUUGUAUCAUUUAGAAAGUAUUUGCAUUAUUAUGGUAGCAGUCAUUAUAUACAAAAUUUUGACUUUGGUGAUAGAUUGAAGAUUUUCAUGAGAAGGAAUUUUGAACUUUUUGAAGAAAGCCUUUUAAGAUAAGAUUGUGAAUCUUCAAAUGAUGAAACUAUUUUAUAAGGAAAACAUUUAGAAUUUUAAAGUUGUAGAGCCUUUUUAAAGAAUAUUUUCAAUGUUGAGAAUGAUUUGUAAAGACCUUUGGACAUAAUCUCUAUGAAUUUUCAAAUGACAAUCUUUGAGUUUUAAAUGAGAAUCUUUUAAAUUUGUGUUAAUCUUUUAAGUUUUUUGAAUUCGAAUCUUUGAAAUUUUAAAAGUUUUGAACGGGAACCAUUGAAGUAUUGGAUGUGACACACUAAAGUUUUUUGAAUGAGAAUCUUUGAAAUCUUAUAAGUGAAUCCUUGAAGUUUUUUAAAUUAAAAUCUUUAACUUUAGGUAUGAAUUUCUAGAAUUUUUGAAUGUUUAUCUUUGAAUGUUGGAUGUGAGCCUUCAAAUUUUGAUACGCAUCCUUGAAUUGAACUUUGGAUGUGAAUCUCUUGAAUGGAAUAUGAAAUUCUUGUGAAUCUAAAAGUCUUGCGAAUAUGAAUAUUCUUGCGAAUAUGAAAUUUUUACGAAUUUCACUUCUUGCGAAUCUAAGUUUUUGUGAAUCUAAAAUUCUUGUGAAUUUGAGUUCUUACGAAUCUAAAAAUUUUGUGAAUUUGAGUUUCUAAGAAUUUUUUAGUAGUUGUGAAUUUGAAAUUUUUGUGAAUCUUAGUUCUUAUAAACUUUUGAAAUCUGACAAAUUUUUGAAAUCUUACGAACCUUUGAAUAUCAAAAUGUAAACCUUUGAAUUUAAUUGCAAAUGCUUGAAUUUCAAAUUGUAAACCAUUGAUUUUUAAGUUGGAAUUCUUAAAUUAAAAAUUAUGGUUCUUUAUUUCAGAUGAGAAUCUUUUAAUUUUUUUUUACUUUUGAGUUAAACCAAAUAUAAUGAGUGUCUAAGUCUUUGCAUAAUUCUUAUUUCACAAGAAAUGCACAAAUGGGGGCAACUGUAGACAUUCUAUUUUCUCUAGGAUCAUUUAAAAAGCCCUCAAGUCUCGCAUUAGUUCAAAAUGGGCUUUGAGCUUAGCCUGUUUUGGUUUUGGGUUUAUUAUUUGAGUUUUGGACUCAGGUGAUAGUUAGACCUAAAGCCAAGUCCAUUUGUUUUUUUUUUUUAGAAUUUUUUAUUUAUUUUAGUUUUUUUUUCUAUAAAAAAAUGAUAAACAAAAAUGAUAAGAUUAGGAUUUUGAAUUCAAAUUUGGAUUAAAUUGUUAGAAUAGAGGCUAAAAUUUAAAAAAAGGGAUUAGGCAUGAAAAUCUUAUUCAACCGAACCCUAUAUUUUGCUUAUGGACUAUAUCAAUUCAAUUCUUAUUUAAAUAGGAAUAAUUACACAAAGAAAAUCAGUGAAGAACAGACAGAGUAGGCAACCAUUAGUAGCUAUGGAUGACCACCUUCACCCUACUAUAGCUUAGCCAUUUCCUUACCAUCUCACAGCCAUUUCAUCACCUCUGCCAAAGCACCAUUUGGCCGCCUCCAUCACCAUCCUAAUCCCAACCAUGAAAUCUACCGUUAUAGCAACUACAGCCAUAACCUUAAAAUUAUAUUCCCAAAUCACCACUUCCAUCACCAUUGUCCAACCAAUAUCCAAAAAGAUCCAAUUCAAGCUGCUAGUUCACUAGCCAUACACCUUAAACUCAUUCAAUAACCUAUUCAUUAUCAUCACUACAAGAAUCGAACCCUUACACCAAAGAACCUAAAACCAAAAAAUUAUAGAGAAAAAUCGAGUAAAAACAAUACUUGGCUAGUUGCUAAACCAAACCCACAACCAACACAAACUUAAAAAGAAAAUAGUCAGCACUCGACGUCAUUAACUUCUUGUCAAACUUCCAUUGAAUAUCAAUAGGCAAAAGAAGAAAAACAAAUCCAACAAAUACAAAAAAAAAAAAUUGCAAAGAUUUGAGUUUUGUUUCGGGUUUCCUAGUCCUUAAUAAGAAGAAAAACAAAUGUUGACGAUAAGAGGAGUGGUAACAACGACAUUAGCUAUGGUGGUUGGUGACGACAGUGGGAUUUUAAAAGAUGGAAACCCACAAGCACGAAAAGCUUGAUGAUGAUGAUAGCAUAUUGAAAAUUAGAAAGAUCGAAUGGCAAAAAAAAGCUAAAACGACAGUGGAAAGUUACAGCCUUGACUUCAGGUCUAGGUUUUUAAAGGAUGAUUGAGGGUUUUGUGAUUUUUUUUUUAAAUAUAAAAAUAUAAGGUUUUAUCAACAUAUUGAAAAAUUUUAUUAAUUUUUGACAAAAAAAUUAAAAUUCCAAAACCAAAUAAUUUUCAUAAAAUCCUACUAACAUAUUAUAGGAUAAUUUUGACAAAAAGUCUUUCCAACAUAUUGGAAGAUAUUUUUUAAAUAAAACAUUUUUUAUAAAAAUCAAUUUUGAAUAUUCAAUGAUGGAAUUAUUAAGAACAUUACGAAUAACAACUUUUAUGUAAAUUCUUAAGUGAAAAUUUUUUUUAAAAUUUUACCAACAUAUUGGAGAAUUUAGAAAAGAUUUUCAAUAUCAAGAUUCUCACAAAAAUUACCAAUAAAUUUUUUUACAAAAAUUGAAUGAAUCUAAUGACAAAACCUUUUCAAAAUGUGACACUAGUUUUCUUGAAUACUCAGAAGAUGAGGGAAUGUCCUAAAAUUAUUACUAACAUAUUGGAGUAAUUUUAAGAUAAUUCAUAAUAAUUAAUUACUUGGUAAGAUAUUUUGAGGCUUGGAUAACAUGAAAUCAAACCAAAACCAUUAUUUGAUAGGAAUUGUGAGGAUGCUAUAACCUUCCUCACUCAUAACAUAUUCCUAGACCUAGUCUUGGUUUUAUAGACCAUAAUCUAUAUUUUAGAGAUACCCAAAUCAAGUUUGAGACUUCUCUUUAAAAUAAGACAGAUUCAGUUAUGUGUCCAAUCAUACAUAGCCAAAAAAGAUUGGUGACGACUUUUUAAGUUUAUGUCUAGCAAAAGGUUUACAAAUUUAUACGUUAUGACACUCAUCAUGCUCCUUAUCAUAUCCUUAAGGGUGUGAUUCUACCUUUCAGCCACACCAUUUUGUUCAGGAUUACCAAGCAUAGUAUAUUGGCAACAAUCCCACACUCUUGUAAGUAUUUGGCAAACAAUCCUACAUAUUGUCCAGUUUAACCAUGUCUGCCAUAAUACUCACCACCACGAUCAGACCUAACAACUUUGAUGACUUUCCUUAAUUGUUUUUCUACCUUAGUCUUAAAAAUUUUGACUUCAUCAAAAACAUCAAAAAUUUCACCUAGUAGGUAAAGAUACCUAUAGUGGGAAUAGUCAUAAAUAAAAGUAACAAAAUAUUUAUUACCAGACAAAGUAGAUGUAAGAGGUCUAUUAAUAUCAGUUUGUACAAUUUUUAAAAGGUCAAAAUUACGAAUUGCCUCUUUCUUCUUAGUCUUAGUUAGUUUACCUUUUAUGCAAUCAACAUAAAUGUUUAGCUUUUGAAAAGUAAAGGAUGGUAAAAUACCAUCUUUUAUCAAUCUUUGAACUCUUUCAUAAAAAAUGUGACCCACCCUUUUGUGCCACAACAAGAAAGAGUUUUCUUUAAUUAAAGAACUUUUAGACACUAUCUUUUCAACAUUAUUAUAACUAUAUUCAUUAUUAAAGGCCAAACAUAGUAUAUAUAAUUUGUCAACAAGUUUAAAUUCACCAACAACAUUUGAAUUUAAAACUAAGUCAACUUUUCCAUUUUCAAUGCCAAAGUAGUAACCACGUUUGUCCAAAAUAGAAAUUGAAAUCAAAUUCAUUCUAAAUGAAAGUACAUAAAAAAUAUUUUUCAAAACAAAUCCAAAGCCAUAAUCCAAAUUUAAACCUAUUAUUCUUACAUGACUAACAUCAACUUCAUCAUUGUUUCCAACUUUAAGUUUGGCCUAUUUUUCACUUGGCUGCUGUUUGCUUUUAAACCCCUAUAAAGUAAUAGCAACAUGAAUAGUUGCAUCACUAUCAAGCUACCACGAAUUCGGUUGGGCACUAAAAAAGUAGGAUUGAAAACAAACAAGAGCUAAUGAAUUACUUUCUUGUUUAUUCUUUUUUUCUAACCAAGCUUUAUAUUUAGGGCACUCAAAUUUCAUUUGACCUUUUUUAUUGUAGGAAAAACACUUGAUAUCCUUUUUAAUGCUAGGUUUAGGACCUCUUACCACUUUAGUCUAACCAUUAACCUAUUUUUUGUCAUCCUGAACUUUCUUAUGAGGAUUAGGAACAUAUCUAUCAAGUUUCCUAUAAUUUUUUGGUAAUUGAGUUUGGAGUAGGUAAUAAGAUGGGCACUCUCACUUUUUUUCUUAAGUUUUUCCUCCUUAGAAACAUAUUUUAAUAUGAUAUCAUUAACACUCUAAACUUUAUUCAUAGCAUUAUAGACUAUUUUGAUAUGGGUGAACUUAAUAGAUAAGCAGUUAAAGGCAUGGUGAACAAUGAAUUUGUCAGGGAGGACAAUUUCAUGAGAAGUUAGUUUGGUUUAAA
rnacentral:lncRNA from 1 species